CAAAAUGUAGCUUAACAAAAGCCCCCUGCUUACACCUAGGAGAUAUCUGUUUAACUCAGAUCAUUUUGA
rnacentral:tRNA from 1 species